AGCUCCACUAGCGUAUAUCAAAGUUGUUGCGGUUCAAAAGGUCAUAGGUGGAUUUUCUGUCGAGGACGACCGGUUCGCCCCUUGGGUGCAUAUUUGGCCAGGCCUGGGCAUCUGCUUGGAGAACGUGUCUGCACUUGACUGUGCGGUGUGGUCUCCAGGGCUUUUACUUUGAGGGAAUUAGAAUGUUUCAAGCAGGCAUACGCCUUGAAUACAUUAGCAUGGAAUAAUAAGAUAGGACCUCGGUUCUAUUUUGUUGGUUUCUAGAGCUGCGGUAAUGAUUCAUAAGCAUAAUUGGGGGCA
rnacentral:rRNA from 1 species